UCCAAGGCAGUCCUACAUCCUGUUCUUUGUUCUGCACAAGAGGUAGAUGCUCUGCCCUGAUGC
rnacentral:pre_miRNA from 1 species